rnacentral:rRNA from 1 species
GAAUUUUCCGCAAUGGGCGAAAGCCUGACGGAGCAACGCCGCGUGAGGGAUGAAGGCCUCUGGGCUGUAAACCUCUUUUCUCAAGGAAGAAGACCUGACGGUACUUGAGGAAUAANCCNNCGGCUAAUUCCGUGCCAGCAGCCGCGGUAAUACGGGAGUGGCAAGCGUUAUCCGGAAUUAUUGGGCGUAAAGCGUCCGCAGGCGGCCUUGUAAGUCUGUUGUUAAAGCGUGGAGCUCAACUCCAUUUGAGCAAUGGAAACUACAAGGCUUGAGUGUGGUAGGGGCAGAGGGAAUUCCCGGUGUAGCGGUGAAAUGCGUAGAUAUCGGGAAGAACACCAGUGGCGAAGGCGCUCUGCUGGGCCAUAACUGACGCUCAUGGACGAAAGCCAGGGGAGCGAAAGGGAUUAGAUACCCCUGUAGUC